UUGCCUAUGAACAAGAAGAGCAUACCAUGAUCAAGAAGGCGGUCCACCCAGGGCGAGGCUCUGCCAUUGCGCUCCGCUGUACCGACCCCUUUCCCAAAUGUGGGAAUCUCCACUGCAUAAUUUCUGGUAGUGGAGGACUUCAUUCACUCUCUA
ensembl:snRNA U1 U1 spliceosomal RNA